rnacentral:rRNA from 1 species
UACAGAGGGGGCGAGCGUUAUUCGGAAUUAUUGGGCGUAAAGGGCGCGUAGGCGGCUUGGCAAGUGGAUGGUGAAAUCCCUCGGCUUAACCGAGGAACUGCCGUCCAAACUGCUUGGCUUGAGACCGGGAGAGGUGAGUGGAAUUCCCAGUGUAGCGGUGAAAUGCGUAGAUAUUGGGAGGAACACCAGUGGCGAAGGCGGCUCACUGGACCGGUACUGACGCUGAUGCGCGAAAGCGUGGGGAGCAAACAGG